rnacentral:rRNA from 1 species
UAGCUGGUUCUCUCCGAAAUAGCUUUAGGGCUAGCGUCAAAUGUUUUCUCUGGGGGUAGAGCACUGGAAGGUUCGGACAGGUCGCAAGAUCGCUGAACCUAUCAAACUCCGAAUACCAGAGACCAUAGUUUGGCAGUUAGGCCAUGGGGGCGAAGCUCCAUUGGCCAAAAGGGAAACAGCCCAGAUCUCAAUAUAAGGUCCCUAAAUUCAUGCUAAGUGUAAAAUAAGAAGGUGGAGUUUCUUAAACAAUGAGGAGGUUGGCUUAGAAGCAGCCAUCCUUUAAAGAUAGCGUAACAGCUCACUCAUCUAGAGAUUUUGCGUCGAAAAUAAUUGGGGCUAAGCAUGAUACCGAAUGUGAGGAUUUUAGAAGUCUACGGACACCUAAAGUGGUAGGAGAGUGUUCCACUCUGCUGUGAAGGAGUACUCGUGAGAGACUCUGGAGCGUGUGGAAGUAAGAAUGUUGGCACAAGUAACCGCAAUGACGCUGAGAACGCGUCACGUCGAAAGAUCAAGGUUUCCUUGGUAAUGUCAAUCAGCCAAGGGUUAGUCGGGCCUAAGGGAAUGGCGAAAGCCGUACUCGAUGGGCAGUAGGUUAAUAUUCCUACACUUUUGUAUUUUGUGACGGGAUGACGGAGGGUAGUAUGUAUCGCUCAUUAUUGGAUUUGAAGUUCGUGUCUUGAUUAUGCUCUAUAGGAAAAUCCGUAGAGUGCCUUAGAUGGCGCAUGAAAGAGAAGCGAAAAGUUUUAUUCUUCGGGAUAAGAUAAUGAUACAAAGCACGCUUCCAAGAAAAAUCUCUAAACUUAUGAAUAUAGAAUCCGUACCGCAAACCGACACAGGUGAUCAGGUCGAUUAGACCAAGACGAACGAGUGAGUGGUCCCCAAGGAACUCGGCAAAAAAGCAGCCGUAACUUCGGGAUAAGGCUUCCCCAUGCAUCACAUUGCAUGUGAUGCGAAAUUUAAAUGUUGAAAUAUUUAAAUAUUUAAAUCUCGCAUCGCGCGUAGCGUGAUGCAUGGGGCGCAGUGAAAGUAUCUCUGGCAACUGUUUACCAAAAACACAGCUCCCUGCGAACUCGUAAGAGGAUGUAUAGGGGGUGACACCUGACCAAUGCCAGAAGGUCAAAUAUAGCCGUUGUGCGCAUCACAUUGCAUGUGAUGCUGAUGUUUAAACAUUUAAAUAUUUAAAUUUCAGCAUCGCGCGUAGCGCGAUGCGCAUGGUGAGUUAUAUAAGCCCUGGUGAAUGUCGGCCGUAACUAUAACGGUCCUAAGGUCCUGACGUUUUGAUCUCAAAUCAAGACGGAAGGAUGACUGGGACUGUUGUAGAAAAAGGUAAAUAAUUAAAUUAAAAAAUUAUUAGAUUAUUCGAAUGCUACCUGCUUUGCAGUAAUGCAAAGACAGUCAAAACUUGGCUAACGAGAGACCAGCGUCAAGUACCCUAACUUCUAACGAAGUGGGUAAAGAUAGAGUCCUUCUUAGGAGUAGAAGAGCGAAAUUCCUUGUCGGGUAAGUUCCGACGCGCACGAAUGGUGUAAUGACUGGAGAACUGUCUCGGGGACCAGCUCGGUGAAAAUACAAUACCGGUGAAGAUGCCGGUUAAGUGCAGUUAGACGAAAAGACCCUAUGAAGCUUUACUAUAACUUUAUAUUGAGCAUAUUUUUGGACUGCGUAGAAUAGAUGGGAGAGGUCUGAUGGAUUCGUUUUCGGAUGAAUUCUACUCGUCAGUGAAAUACCAUUCUUUUUGAGGAUAUGUUCUAACCAAAACGGCAAAAACGUUUUGAGACAGUAUAUGGCGGAUAGUUUUACUGGGGCUGUACCCUCGAGUACUUGAAACACCUCAUCCCCCGCCUUCCCCUGAAAGGGGAAGGGGCACCCUCUCCUUUCAGGAGAGGGCAGGGUGAGGUUGGGUUUUGAGUAUUCGAAUUUUACAGCUCCAAUGUCAAAGAGACUCUUUGACAUGAAACAAAAAUAGGGGGGCUUUCACGAAACAGAUAGAGUUUUAGACUCUAGACAGAGGCUAAACCUCUGUCUGUAUCAAAAUUGUGAUUGGAAAGUUGGGAAUUUGCUGGAAAAACCGGUUAAAACAUUCUUAAUUACAAAAUGUUCACCCGACCCUAGAGCAAACAAAGAUUGCUCGGGUUUAGGGGGUAUGGUAUACUACUUGCAUUAGUAAGUAACAAUGUAUACCUGCGGUUAAUCAGCAGGGAAAUAAAAUUAUAUGGGAGAAAAUGCACCAAAACAAGAAGCACCUUCAAUUAAAUCUUUAUUGACAAAAAGACAGAAAGAUUCUUUCAUAAAAUUUUUCGGUCAAAAUUGGUAUGAAAGAAUAGACGCUUUAACUCCACAAGAAUGGGAAAAGGUACGUCAAACAGCCGAAGAUUUAAAAGAAAUAGGACGUUUCCUUAUAAAGUAAAAAAACUAAUUAAAAUAAUUCCCUCAGAGACUACAAACCAACCUCGCCUCAUCGGCGAGAAUGUAUAGUCCGAUCUUCAUGGCGACAUGAAGUUAACACAAAUGCCUAAAAAGUAAAGGAGGGGUUUAAAGGUCAGCUAGGCGCGAAUGGAAACCGUGCCGAUAGUGUAUGAGCACAAGCUGGCUUGACUGUAAGACGUACUUGUCAAGCAGGUGGGAAACCAGAAUCAAGUGAACCGACCACCCGUGUUAGACGCGGUGGAAGAUUAACGGAUAAAAGCUACUCUAGGGAUAACAGGCUAGUUCCGCCCAAGAGUUCAUAUCGACGGCGGAGUUCGGCACCUCGAUGUCGGCUCACCUUAGCGCGGCGGCGGAGAAGCUGCCAAGCGUUUGGCUGUUCGCCAAUUAAAAAGGUACGCGAGCUGGGUUCAGACCGUCGAAAAGCGAAGCUUUUCGACAAGUAAAAAGUUAUAAAGUCGAAAGUAAAAAGUUUGGCUGAUCGACAGUUUGAACCCUCAGAGGCUAAAACAUUUGCUUUGCAAAUGUUCGCCCGAACCUAGAACAAACGAAGUUUGUUCGGUUUUAGGGAAGAAAAAAUUACUGUUUUAAUCGAAGACAACCAAGUGCAUUAAAUUGCACACACGGCGGCGUCCCGAUGUAAAUCGGGAUGGCAAGCUAAUUUAUAUCGGAGAAAUCCCUAGAACUUUUGUAAACAAAAGUUCGGGCGAUAGUUUGCUUUGCAAAUUAUUUAGCCUACUAAAUUUUUAGGGAUAACGCCGAGGGAAUUCCCAUAAAUGGGAUGCCCGUAGAGACUGAAUGUUAGACAUCCUGAGCUUGUCGAAGGAUGAUGUCACAGUCCAAUCCCACGAGUAAUCGUGGACAUCCUAACCCGAUAGCGGGCGGAUAAAUAGAUGCGUGAGACAGGUUGGUCUCCUAUCUACUGCACUCGUUGAUUCUUGAAAAGAUCUGCUUCUAGUACGAGAGGACCGAAGUGGACUGACCUCUGGUGUGCCUGCUGUUCUGCCAAGAGCAAUGCAGGGUAGCUAUGUCGGGAAUGGAUAACCUCUGAAAGCAUCUAAGAGGGAAGCCAGCUUUAAGAUUAGGAAUCGUUAAGAACCGUGAGAGAUGAUCACGUUGAUAGGCUUUAAGUGUAAGGCGAGUAAUCGCUUGAGCUGAGAAGUACUAAUGUUUCGAUU